UGAGAAAUCUCACCCUCCCACUCCUUUCUCUCUCCUCUCCAUCUCUCACUCCAUGUUCGCUCCUUUCUACUCUCCUCUCCAUGAUCGGCUUUUUUCUCUUCAUCCCCUCCUUCAAGUUCUAGUAAUCCAUCCUCCUAAAAUCUCAAGAAUUGAACAACUUUCCAACAAUUGAGACCUUAAUUUCUGAAUUUCUACCAUGGUUGAGAAGUCCAAGGAAUUUCAUGAGUGGUCAUUGAAGAAAAGCCUACCAAUUCAAUCUCUUAAAGAUGUGACGAAAAAUCCCCAAAUUAUUGCAUUGUUCUACUUCAUAUUUGCCGAGUAUUUGUUUAUAAUAAAUUUUCUCAUUUGAUUAA